rnacentral:lncRNA from 1 species
AAAAAUCACCAAUUAAAUGCUAAUAAGUGGCAUGACAGUAAAAAGAAGAAAAAAAAGAACAAGCAAGUAAAGACUAUUUCCUUUCUCUUCAAUUUAUUAUGUACAGAAACGAAAAAAAUAAAAAGAAAUGUUUCUCUCCAUCUCUCUUCUCAUGACCUGCACUGACCGACGACACAAAGGGGUAGCCGGUCGGCCAAUAAAGGUGGCGGCGCGCCCCCUCCCU